rnacentral:rRNA from 1 species
UACGGAGGGUGCAAGCGUUGCUCGGAAUCACUGGGCGUAAAGCGUCCGCAGGCGGCCUAGAAGGUCGGAUGUGAAAGCCCGGGGCUCAACCCCGGAACUGCAUUCGAAACCGCUAGGCUUGAGUAUAGGAGAGGAGAGCGGAAUUCCUGGUGUAGAGGUGAAAUUCGUAGAUAUCAGGAGGAAUACCCGUGGCGAAAGCGGCUCUCUGGCCUAAUACUGACGCUCAUGGACGAAAGCGUGGGGAGCAAACAGG